rnacentral:rRNA from 1 species
UCCGCAUGGAAGGGCCAUCGCUCAACGGAUAAAAGCUACCCCGGGGAUAACAGGCUUAUCUCCCCCAAGAGUUCACAUCGACGGGGAGGUUUGGCACCUCGAUGUCGGCUCAUCGCAUCCUGGGGCUGUAGUCGGUCCCAAGGGUUGGGCUGUUCGCCCAUUAAAGCGGUACGCGAGCUGGGUUCAGAACGUCGUGAGACAGUUCGGUCCCUAUCCGUCGUGGGCGUAGGAAAUUUGAGAGGAGCUGUCCUUAGUACGAGAGGACCGGGAUGGACAUACCUCUGGUGUACCAGUUGUCGUGCCAACGGCAUAGCUGGGUAGCUAUGUGUGGACGGGAUAAGUGCUGAAAGCAUCUAAGCAUGAAGCCCCCCUCAAGAUGAGAUUUCCCAACUUCGGUUAUAAGAUCCCUCAAAGAUGAUGAGGUUAAUAGGUUCGAGGUGGAAGCAUGGUGACAUGUGGAGCUGACGAAUACUAAUCGAUCGAAGACUUAAUC